rnacentral:rRNA from 1 species
AAAAACGUUCAGAGGACGUGAACCGGUAGGAUGGAAGCAGAUAAAGUUGACGAACGUGUGUCGUAUUCAGAUCUACAAUUUGUGGGUUGUUUUUACGAUCUAUGUGGGCUGGCGUCUUUGGUUAACUUAGUGUCUGGCGGCAAUGGUGACCCUGCGGAGGGAUAAUCGGUUGUCGUGCGAUGCUGGGUAUGGCUAGAGGUUCGCUGGUCUUAUAGUCAUCGCUUUAUCUGACCCGUCUUGAAACACGGACCAAGGAGUGUAGCGCUUACGCGAGUCUUAGAGUGUGUCAAAACUUUGAGGCGUAACGAAAGUAAAUGUGGAUUUAUUCACUGACUUGGGAUGCGUUGUCUUUUUUGGAUAGCGUUGGACCAUGGUUUUAUCGUAAUCGCUUGCGAUGCGGUGAAAAUAGAGCGUAAGCGGUGCGACCCGAAAGAUGGUGAACUAUGCCUGAGCAGGAUGAAGCCGGAGGAAACUCUGGUGGAAGUCCGAAGCGGUUCUGACGUGCAAAUCGAUCGUCUGACUUGGGUAUAGGGGCGAAAGACUAAUCGAACCAUCUAGUAGCUGGUCCCCUUCCGAAAACCGUCUAGUAGCUGGUUCCUUCCGA